GACGAACGCUGGCGGCGUGCUUAACACAUGCAAGUCGAACGGAAAGGCCCGGCUUUUGUGCGGUGCUCGAGUGGCGAACGGGUGAGUAACACGUGGGUAACCUGUCCUUGACUUUGGGAUAACUUCAUGAAACUUAGGCUCAUACCGGAUAGGAGCUCCUGCUUCAUGGUGGGGGUUGGAUAGUUUCGGCGGUUGGGGAUGGACUCGCGUCGGAUUGGCUGGUUGGUAGGGUAGUAGCUUACCAAGGCUUUGCCGCCUAGCCGUGCGGGGAGGCGGACACGCCACACUGGGGAUGAGACGCGGCCCCGAAUCCUACGGAGGGGAGCAGUAGAGAAUAUUGGACACUGAGGGAAAGCCUGAUCCCGCAAUGCCGCGUGAGUGAUGAAGGCCGUAGGGUUGUGAAGCUCUUUUACCCGGGAUGAUAAUGACAGUACCGGGAGAAUAAGCACCGGCUAACUACGUG
rnacentral:rRNA from 1 species